rnacentral:tRNA from 1 species
GGAAGUGCCAAGGUCACUGGUGGGUCUCCCGGACUUCAAAUCCGGUGUGGGGCGCUAGAACCGUCCUAGGUGGGUUCGAUUCCCAUGCACUUCCGCCA